AUUGAACGCUGGCGGCAGGCCUAACACAUGCAAGUCGAACGAGUGGCGGACGGGUGAGUAAUGUCUGGGAAACUGCCUGAUGGAGGGGGCUAACUACUGGCAACGGUAGCUAAUACCGCAUACCAUCGGAUGUGCCCAGAUGGGAUUAGCUGGUGGGUGGGGUAAAGGCUCACCUAGGCGACGCUCCCUAGCUGGUCUGAGAGGAUGACCAGCCACACGGGAACUGGGAAACGGUCCAGACUCCUACGGGAGGAAGCAGUGGGGAAUAUUGCACAAGGGGCGCAAGCCUGAUACAGCCAUGCCGCGUGUAGGAAGAAGGCCUGCGGGUUGUAAAGUACUUUCAGCGGGGAGGCGUUACCCGCAGAAGAAGCACCGGCUAACUCCGUGCCAGCAGCCGCGGUAAUUC
rnacentral:rRNA from 1 species